UACGGGGGGAGCAAGCGUUGUUCGGAUUUACUGGGCGUAAAGGGCGCGUAGGCGGCCACCGCAAGUCGGUUGUGAAAUCUCUGGGCUUAACCCAGAAAGGUCAAUCGAUACUGCGGGGCUAGAGUGCAGAAGGGGCAACUGGAAUUCUCGGUGUAGCGGUGAAAUGCGUAGAUAUCGAGAGGAACACCUGCGGCGAAGGCGGGUUGCUGGGCCGACACUGACGCUGAGGCGCGAAAGCCAGGGGAGCGAACGGG
rnacentral:rRNA from 1 species